ACUAUGGUUCAUUUUCUUUAUUUCUUCUGCCUCAGAACAAAACUUGCAAAUCAGAAUUCUCCAGCUGUAAUUUUGUAUUAGAAUUCUUUAACUUCCUUGCUUUAUUUUUUUAUUUUUAUUUUUUGAGUCGUGUUUGGACAUCAUCACCUGUUUCGAUCUUUGAGGUUCAAUUUCAGAUCUGAGGGUGUUCAUUAUGUGCAAAGGUUUGAAGUUACUGCAGUCCCUCCUACUUCUUGACAAGCUCGACAGUGUUGAAGGGAUCUUUGAGAAUCUGGAACGUAUCUGUGAGUAAUCUUGGAAACAUUUGGGCAAUCUGUAGAUUCUUCACUUGUUCUCAUUGCUAAGUUACCCCAUUCCAUCUGAUACUUGGACCUGCCACCUCUGUUGGUUUGUUCCGUUGAACUAAGCAAGCUUGUUGAUGUGUUCUGUUGAACUGAGUAACAGUAUGUUUACUCUCAAAUUUAAAUCUUUUAACCUGAA